AUAAGACUCUCGACAACGGAUAUCUAGGCCCUCGCAUCAAAGAAUAACGUAGAAAAAUGUGAUACUUGGUGUG
rnacentral:rRNA from 1 species